ensembl:snRNA U6 U6 spliceosomal RNA
GUGCUUGCUUCGGCAGCACAUAUACUAAAAUUGGAACAAUACAAAGAUUAGCAAGGCCCCUGAGCAAGGAGGACACACACAUUCGUGGAGCCUUUCAUAUUUUU